UACGUAGGGGGCAAGCGUUGUCCGGAUUUAUUGGGCGUAAAGAGCGUGUAGGCGGCCAGGUAGGUCAGCUAUGAAAACUCGAGGCUCAACCUCGAGACGCCGGUUGAAACCAUCUGGCUAGAGUCCGGAAGAGGAGAGUGGAAUUCCUGGUGUAGCGGUGAAAUGCGCAGAUAUCAGGAGGAACACCGGUGGCGAAGGCGGGUCUCUGGGCCGAUACUGACGCUGAGGAGCGAAAGCGUGGGGAGCGAACAGG
rnacentral:rRNA from 1 species